rnacentral:rRNA from 1 species
CGUAGGGGGCAAGCGUUGUCCGGAUUCAUUGGGCGUAAAGCGCGUGUAGGCGGCCAGGUAGGUCUGGUGUGAAAACUCGAGGCUCAACCUCGAGAGGUCAUCGGAAACCAUCUGGCUAGAGUCCGGAAGAGGAGAGUGGAAUUCCCGGUGUAGCGGUGAAAUGCGCAGAUAUCGGGAAGAACACCUAUGGCGAAGGCAGCUCUCUGGGACGGUACUGACGCUGAGACGCGAAAGCGUGGGGAGCGAACAGGAUUAGAUACCCUGGUAGUCCACGCCGUAAACGAUGGGUGCUAGGUGUGGGUGGUGUCGACUCCACCCGUGCCGCAGCUAACGCAUUAAGCACCCCGCCUGGGGAGUACGGCCGCAAGGCUA